CCUACGGGAGGCUGCAGUGAGGAAUAUUGGUCAAUGGGCGGAAGCCUGAACCAGCCAAGUAGCGUGCAGGAUGACGGCCCUACGGGUUGUAAACUGCUUUUAUACGGGAAUAACGCGCCUUACGUGUAGGGCUUUGCAUGUACCGUAUGAAUAAGGACCGGCUAAUUCCGUGCCAGCAGCCGCGGUAAUACGGAAGGUCCGGGCGUUAUCCGGAUUUAUUGGGGUUAAAGGGAGCGUAGGCCGCAUGUCAAGCGUGCUGUGAAAUGUCCGGGCUCAACCCGGGCCUUGCAGCGCGAACUGGCGUGCUUGAGUCCGCGGAAAGCAGGCGGAAUUCGUCGUGUAGCGGUGAAAUGCUUAGAUAUGACGAAGAACCCCGAUUGCGAAGGCAGCAUGCUGCAGCGGAACUGACGCUGAUGCUCGAAAGCGCGGGUAUCGAACAGGAUUAGAUACCCCAGUAGUC
rnacentral:rRNA from 1 species